CGAAGAACCUUACCAGGCCUUGACAUGCAGAGAACUUUCCAGAGAUGGAUUGGUGCCUUCGGGAACUCUGACACAGGUGCUGCAUGGCUGUCGUCAGCUCGCGUCGUGAGAUGUUGGGUUAAGUCCCGUAACGAGCGCAACCCUGUCCUUAGUUACCAGCACGUUAUGGUGGGCACUCUAAGGAGACUGCCGGUGACAAACCGGAGGAAGGUGGGGAUGACGUCAAGUCAUCAUGGCCCUUACGGCCUGGGCUACACACGUGCUACAAUGGUCGGUACAAAGGGUUGCCAAGCCGCGAGGUGGAGCUAAUCCCAUAAAACCGAUCGUAGUCCGGAUCGCAGUCUGCAACUCGACUGCGUGAAGUCGGAAUCGCUAGUAAUCGUGAAUCAGAAUGUCACGGUGAAUACGUUCCCGGGCCUU
rnacentral:rRNA from 1 species